CAUGCAGUACAUUUAGUGUGUAGUGAAAUAUAUUUCCAUGCUGAAGCCAAUAAUCAAACAUGUUUGUUGCGACUGCCUAUUGUAGGGUUAGUGCUGGGAACCAUGAUAAGCUCAGUUCCUGACGAUGGCUCACCUCUCAUUGGGCAGCUUCCUUUCAUUAAUUUGUUUCCACCUCUUAAUUUCCGUCCUUGCCUCUUUUUUUACCUCACCUUUUCCCAGUCCCCUCCCACUUUCCCAGUCCCCUCCCACUCACAAGGCAGGCAAUUCGCUUGUCCUCCUCUUUACUAGAGGCUGUUCUCACUAAUCUCACUGCAACCCCCCUUCUGGUCUCUGAUCACUACUUAGUUUCCUUUUUUGUCUCCCUCUCCUCCAACUCUAACCACUCAGCCCCUACCCAGAUUCCCUCUCUCUCCCUUCCUCUAUCCUAUCAUUUGUCCCUUCUGCUAAAUUCUUCUCUCUCCUGUCUCCUGAUCAUGUAUCUUCGACCCUACUCUCGUCCCUUUCUGCAUCCUAUGACAUUGUCCCCAUUCCUGCCGGUCGGCUUGACCCUCCCCGCCUGCUCUGUGGCUGAGUGACCCCUUGCGAGCUGACAGAACAGGGCUGCGGGCAGCAGAGGAAAAAUGGAGGAAAACUAAACUUUCGGAGCACUUAUCAUCCAAGACAAUUUCCACCUGCUCCUCAUUCACUCCGCCUAUUGCGUCCACUGGUCCCACUCACACAUAACUACCCCACGCCUUGACCACGUUCUCCACUUUCUCUAGAUUAAAUUCUGUGACUAGUGAGGUCCGGCCACCCAACAACCUGCCCGCUCGACCUCAUCCCCUCCUCCCUCCCUCAUCCCCUCCUCCCUUCUCCAGACCAUCUCUGGAGACCUUCUCCCUUUCCUCACUUCCCUCAUCAACUCAUCCCUGACCCCCUGACUGAGUCCCCUCUGACUUCAAAAUGUCCAGAGUCACCCCUUCUCAAGAAAUCAAUACUCAAUCCCUCGGAUGUCAAAAUCUACAGACCGGUAUCCUUCUUUUCUUUCUUUUCAAAACACUUGAGUGUGCUGUCUCUGACGAACUUUCUCGUUAUCUCUCUCAGAAUGAUUUUCUUUACCCUAACCAGUCAGGUUUCAAGAUGGGUCACUCAACCGAGACUGCUCUCCUCUGUGUCACGGAGGCUCUGCUCGCUGCCGAGACUGCUCUCCUCUGUGUCACGGAGGCUCUGCUCGCUGCCGAGACUGCUCUCCUCUGUGUCACGGAGGCUCUUCUGGACCCUAACCAGUCAGGCCUCAAGAUGGGUCACUCAACCGAGACUGCUCUCCUCUGUGUCACGGAGGCUCUGCUCGCUGCCGAGACUGCUCUCCUCUGUGUCACGGAGGCUCUGCUCGCUGCCGAGACUGCUCUCCUCUGUGUCACGGAGGCUCUUCUGGACCCUAACCAGUCAGGCCUCAAGAUGGGUCACUCAACCGAGACUGCUCUCCUCUGUGUCACGGAGGCUCUGCUCGCUGCCAAAACUGACUCUCCCCUCUGUUCUCAUCCUCCUAGAUCUAUCGGCUGCAUUCAAGACCAUCAGAUUCUCCUCUCUGCAGUCUCAGACUCUGCACACUCUUGGAAUAUGGGAUUAUAAUGAUAACAGAACUAUAUGAGUUUUUAUUUCUAAUUUCGUUGUCACACAUUGAGAUUAUUGGUUGCAUCUACGAUUCGUAAAUAUGCAAUUUAAUUUUGCACACUUGUAUCCUGAUGAGUGAAAGAUUUAACAACAUGUAAUUUGACAUUUGAAUACAUGAAAUAAGAUUUGCAUAAUCUAUUUUCAGAAUUAUUAUAAAUCAAUUUACAAGUAUUAAUAUUUUUCUGUGAAUAAAAAAUGACUGAUACUUACUGAUAUUGAAUCUACAUGCGCUCGGGGUUCUGUCACUGUCGUCACGUUACCAAGAGAGUUUUGUAAAUUUGUACACAGAGAUUCGCAAAUAGAUAUUAUAUUUGAGCAGUUCUGGGGGCAGGACCUUUUACUCCUGACCAAUCCGUUUCCUCUGCCAAAACCACAGACAUCUAACCAUUGGCUGGAUUGUUCCUUCAAUUAAAUCUCAGGAAGUAGCUACCCACAUGAGCCAAAGAGGACGAGUUAAUUCAAACCAAAACAAGCUACUUGAAGGUUGAAGCACAUCCCCAACACCCAGACAGACACCAGGUAAAACACCUUGGAGUUUAUUCACAAGAGGCAGAAUAUUCCAAGAACCUCCACAGCCAUCUGACCACCUACCUGCAAUCUCUCCACAGCCAUCUGACCACCUACCUGCAAUCUCUCCACAGCCAUCUGACCACCUACCUGCAAUCUCUCCACAGCCAUCUGACCACCUACCUGCGAUCUCUCCACAGCCAUCUGACCACCUACCUGCGAUCUCUCCACAGCCAUCUGACCACCUACCUGCGAUCUCUCCACAGCACAGAGAAGUGAGUCUGCUGGGCUGUGGAACUCUAGAACAUCAACGAACCUGCCACCCUGUCAGCAGACAGUUCCCAGAGGAAGGAUGCAACUAUCAAGGCUGUAAAUGGUCACAUUUGGGGGAUGACCACCAAAUGCAAUAAAGUUUUGUAUAAAAC